AUCACAUUCCAGUACUGUACAGGUUUAAAAAGGAAGUGAAAUGCAGCAUCAGAAUACCAAAUGCUAGCAGCUGGAAGAAAUGGAGUAUACUCUUUGUAAUACAAAGCAUGGGUGAUGACAAGGUUGCAGAUGCGAGCAUUAAGAAUCAGCAUUAAGGAAUGACAGAUGGUGAAGAGUAUGGCUAUCCCAGGAUACCUGCUAGUCUGAGAUCUGCUGAGGCAUGAGGCUGAAGGUACUGUCCUAUUGCAAUCCGGGUCCAUGCCAACUGUUUAACUAGCUCCUUGAUGGCUCUUGCUGUAGCUCAGCUAGCUCUUGCCGAAGCUGCACACCUGGGCGCACCUGCUUACUUUAAUCUCCGAUGGGCUGAGUACCAGGUGCGUAUGAAAUGCUAUCAAAUAAAGUCCUAUAGCAGUUUAUGCUGUGUAGAGGGGAAAUAACUAAAACGCAUGGCAGUAAAGAAUCAAGUCACAUAGUUAUAAUGGGUACAAGGUACAUGAUGGAAUUGGAAAUGGGCAUUUCUACCAACACUCCAUCUUCAGUUUUCUCCACAGCAGUGAAGAUAGAAAGAAGUAAGGCCUUUAUCAUUGUUCUUGAUUUUUCUUCUUUUACAUUGAAUUUUGGCCUAUUACAGAGCAAAAUACUGUUAGCCUUUGUUAGAACCAAAC